rnacentral:ncRNA from 1 species
AUCUUCAGGGCAGGGUGCAAGUCCCUACCGGCGGUACAGCCCGCGAGCCGUAGAGCGGUUGAUUCGGUGAAACUCCGAAGCCGACAGUAUAGUCUGGAUGGAAGAAG